GGGAUUUUAGUAUAAUGGUGAAUACAUAUGACUUUUAAUCAUUAUGAUAUUGGUUCGAAUCCAAUAGAUCCUA
rfam:Colletotrichum incanum strain MAFF 238704 contig752, whole genome shotgun sequence.